GAAGGGCCUGGCUAGGGUGGGAGGUUUCCUGCGAAAUUUGCAGGAAAAAGGUGAAAACCGCAUAGAUCCCGCUUCUUUUUUUUUUUUUUUUUUAGCUUCAGUCUGUACCAUCAACACAAAGAACAAGCAUUGCUGCUCCUGCUGCAUCGAAAUAAAACCCAGACCACCUUAGUGCAUGAAGCCGGGGAGGGGAGGACUAGAUCUGGUACCCAGAUCCAGCUGGCUCUUGCCCACUUUUUGGCUCCAGACCCCCAAAUUGUACCACUAAAGGGAGAAUGAGUGUGGUGUCUACUGAACCAAAAAAUCUGGCUCCUGAUUCAUCCUGGCUUACUAGCACUGGAAAAAUGCAAUGGAAUUUGGCUGCUUGCUGCCAAAAUUGGUAGUGUCCAGCAGGACCCAAGAGCUGGAUCCAGGUUUAUGCAGCCCUCGUAUGCUGAGAUAUACCCAGAAUCCUACUUUCGACAUCUCUGACUCAAAGAAUAUUUCCAACACACCUCUAAACAACAUACUAACCCACAGAAUCCUUCCUACCAAGACUAGAAAAAGAAGGAUUCUGUGUGGACCCCUCCUGAAGGUCGAAACAACAGACUGGACUUCUACAUAGAGUGCUUCCGUUGACGUGCAUGGGCUGAAAUUGUGGAAAAGCAGCAUCACUUGCCCCAUAACCUAAGCCGUGCUGAACACAAUGCCAUCCACAGCCACAGGAACAACUCUGACAUCAUAAUCAAAAAGGCUGAUAAAGGAGGUGCUGAUGUCAUCAUGAAUAAGUUGGAAUAUGAAUAGGAGGCUGCAAGGCAGCUCUCUAACUCCACAUUCUACAUGCCAUUAUCCUCUGAUCCCACUGAGGAUUACCAAAGGAAACUACACCAUCUGCUCAAGAAACUCCCUCAAAAAGCACAGGAACAGAUCUGUGCAGACACAUGCCUAGAACUCCGACCAGGGGUAUUCUAUCUGCUUCCCAAGAUCCAUAAACCUAGGAAUCCUGGAUGCCCCAUCAUCUCACGCAUUGGCACCCUAACUGCAGGAUUGUCUGGCUACGUGGACUCUCUCCUCAGGCCCUACGCUACCAGCACUCCCAGCUAUCUUCGAGACACCACUGACUUCCUGAGGAAACUACAAUCCAUCGGUGAUCUUCCAGAAAACACCAUCCUGGACACUAUGGAUGUAGAAGCCCUCUACACCAACAUUCUACACAAAGAUGGACUACAAGUUAUCAGGAGGAGUAUCCCCAAUAAUGUCACGGCAAACCUGGUGGCUGACCUUUGUCCUCACCCACAACUGUUUCAGAUUUGGGGACAAUAUAUCCCUUCAAGUCAGUGGCACUGCCAUGGGUACCCGCAUAGGCCCACAGUAUGCUAACAUUUUUAUGGCUGACUUAGAACAACGCUUCCUUAGCUCCCGUCCCCUAACACCCCUACUCUACUUGCGCUACAUUGAUGACACCUUUAUCUGAACCCAUGGAAAAGAAGCCCUUGAGGAAUUCCACCAUGAUUUCAACAAUUUCCAUCCCACCAUCAACCUCAGCCUAGACCAAUUCACACAAGCGGUCCAUUUCCUGGACACUACUGUGCUAAUAAGCGAUGGUCACAUAAACACCACCCUAUACCAGAAACCUACUGACCACUAUACUUACCUACAUGCUUCCAGCUUCCAUCCAGGACACACCACAUGAUCCAUUGUCCACAGCCAAGCUCUAAGAUACAACCGCAUUUGCUCCAAUCCCUCAGACAGAGACAAACACCUACAAGAUCUCUAUCAACCAUUCUUGAAACUACAGUACCCACCUGCUGAAGUGAAAAAACAGAUUGACAGAGCCAGAAGAGUACCCAGAAGUCACCUACUACACGACAGGCCCAACAAAGAAAAUAACAGAACGCCACUAGCUGUCACCUUCAGCCCCCAACUAAAACCUCUCCAGCGCAUCAUCAAAGAUUUACAGCCUAUCCUGAAAAAUGAUCCCUCACUCUCACAGGUCUUGGGAGACAGACCAGUCCUCACUUACAGACAUCCCCCCAACCUGAAGCAAAUACUCACCAGCAACCACACAACAAAGACACUAACCCAGGAACCUAUCCUUCCAACAAAGCCCAAUGCCAACUUUGUCUACAUAUUUAUUCAAGUGACACCAUCAUAGGACCUAAUCACAUUAGCCAAGCCAUCAGGGGCUUGUUCACCUGCACAUCUACCAAUGUGAUAUAUGCCAUCAUGUGCCAGCAAUUCCCCUCUGCCAUGUACAUUGGCCAAACCAGACAGUCUCUAUGCAAAAGAAUAAAUGGACACAAAUCUGACAUCAGGAAUCAUAACAUUCAAAAACCGGUAGGAGAACACUUCAACCUGUCUGGCCACUCAGUAAAAGAUUUAAGGGUGGCAAUUUUGCAACAGAAAAGCUUCAAAAACAGACUCCAGUGAGAAACUGCUGAGCUUGAAUUAAUAUGCAAAUUAGAGACCAUUAAUUUGGGUUUGAAUAGAGACUGGGAGUGGCUGGGUCAUUACACAUAUUGAAUCUAUUUCCUUAAGUUAAGUAUCCUCACACCUUCUUGUCAACUGUCUAAAUGGGCCAUCUUGAUUAUCACUACAGAAGUUUUUUUCUCCUGCUGAUAAUAGCUCAUUUUAACUAAUUAGCCUCUCACAGUUUUUAUGGUAACUUCCAACUUAUCUGUAUGUGUGUAUGUAUAUAUAUAUAUAAUCUCUCCUUACUAUAUGUUCCAUUCUAUGCAUCCUGUGAAGUGGGCUGGAGCCCACGAAAGCUUAUGCUCUAAUAAAUUUGUUAGUCUCUAAGGUG